rnacentral:rRNA from 1 species
GACGAACGCUGGCGGCGUGCUUAACACAUGCAAGUCGAACGGAAAGGCCCUGCUUUUGUUGGUUUCUCGAGUGGCGAACGGGUGAGUAACACGUGAGUAACCUCCCCUUGACUUUGUGAUAACUUCAGGAAACUGGGGCGAAUACCGGAUAGGAGCUCCUGCUGCAUGGUGUUGGUUGGAAAGUUUCGGCGUUUGGGGCUGGACUGGCUGCUUAUCAGCUGGUUUGGGAGGUAGUUGCGUACCAAGGCUUUGACGGGUAGCCGGCAUGAGAGGGUGGACGGGCACCUUGGGACUGCGAUACGCCCCAGUCGCCUACGGUCGGCAGCAGUCGGGAAUCUUGCGCAGUGGCGCGGCGCGAGAUGCAGAGACCCCGCGUGCGGAAUACCCGGUUACGGGUUGUGAACAACUUUCGAAGGAACUGAAGCCUGAGUGACGGUAAUGAGUCAAGAAGCCACGGCUAACUACGUG